rnacentral:sRNA from 1 species
UGUCCUGGUCCUCCGAUGAGCCUCGGUC